GGGGCUCUGAUGCUAUUGCACCACAUGUGUUUUUCUUUGAAACAAACUUGCUUUGGCGGUGGGCCCAGCCUGCCGCCAGAGGUCUAAACUUACAACCAAUUUUUUAUUAACUUGUCACACCAGAUUAUUACUAAAUAGUCAAAACUUUCAACAACGGAUCUCUUGGUUCUCGCAUCGAUGAAGAACGCAGCGAAAUGCGAUACGUAAUAUGAAUUGCAGAUAUUCGUGAAUCAUCGAAUCUUUGAACGCACAUUGCGCCCUCUGGUAUUCCGGAGGGCAUGCCUGUUUGAGCGUCGUUUCUCCCUCAAACCGCUGGGUUUGGUGUUGAGCAAUACGACUUGGGUUUGCUUGAAAGACGGUAGUGGUAAGGCGGGAUCGCUUUGACAAUGGCUUAGGUCUAACCAAAAACAUUGCUUGCGGCGGUAACGUCUACCACGUAUAUCUUCAAACUUUGACCUCAAAUCAGGUAGGACUACCCGCUGAACUUAAGCAUAUCAAAAGGCCGGAGGAA
rnacentral:rRNA from 1 species